UACGAAGGGGCUAGCGUUGUUCGGAAUCACUGGGCGUAAAGCGCAUGCAGGCGGAUCGUUAAGUCGGGGGUGAAAGCCCGAGGCUCAACCUCGGAACUGCCUUCGAUACUGGCGAUCUUGAGUCCGGGAGAGGUGAGUGGAACUGCGAGUGUAGAGGUGAAAUUCGUAGAUAUUCGCAAGAACACCAGUGGCGAAGGCGGCUCACUGGCCCGGUACUGACGCUGAGGCACGAAAGCGUGGGGAGCAAACAGG
rnacentral:rRNA from 1 species